rnacentral:rRNA from 1 species
AGUGAACGCUGGCGGUAGGCCUAGCACAUGCAAGUCGAACGGCAGCACAGUAAGAGCUUGCUCUUACGGGUGGCGAGUGGCGGACGGGUGAGGAAUACAUCGGAAUCUACUUUUUCGUGGGGGAUAACGUAGGGAGACUUACGCUAAUACCGCAUACGACCUACGGGUGAAAGCAGGGGAUCUUCGGACCUUGCGCGAUUGAAUGAGCCGAUGUCGGAUUAGCUAGUUGGCGGGGUAAAGGCCCACCAAGGCGACGAUCUGUAGCUGGUCUGAGAGGAUGAUCAGCCACACUGGAACUGAGACACGGUCCAGACUCCUACGGGAGGCAGCAGUGGGGAAUAUUGGACAAUGGGCGCAAGCCUGAUCCAGCCAUACCGCGUGGGUGAAGAAGGCCUUCGGGUUGUAAAGCCCUUUUGUUGGGAAAGAAAAGCAGCAGGUUAAUACCCCGCUGUUCUGACGGUACCCAAAGAAUAAGCACCGGCUAACUUCGUG